rnacentral:rRNA from 1 species
GACGAACGCUGGCGGCGUGCUUAAUACAUGCAAGUCGAACGGAAAGGCCCUGCUUUUGUGGGGUGCUCGAGUGGCGAACGGGUGAGUAACACGUGAGUAACCUGCCCUUGACUUUGGGAUAACUUCAGGAAACUGGGGCUAAUACCGGAUAGGAGCUCCUGCUGCAUGGUGGGGGUUGGAAAGUUUCGGCGGUUGGGGAUGGACUCGCGGCUUAUCAGCUUGUUGGUGGGGUAGUGGCUUACCAAGGCUUUGACGGGUAGCCGGCCUGAGAGGGUGACCGGCCACAUUGGGACUGAGAUACGGCCCAAACUCCUACGGGAGGCAGCAGUGGGGAAUAUUGCACAAUGGGCGGAAGCCUGAUGCAGCAACGCCGCGUGCGGGAUGACGGCCUUCGGGUUGUAAACCGCUUUCGCCUGUGACGAAGCGUGAGUGACGGUAAUGGGUAAAGAAGCACCGGCUAACUACGUG